rnacentral:rRNA from 1 species
CACGGAGUUAGCCGGUGCUUAUUCAUAUGCUACCGUCAUUAUCUUGACAUAUAAAGGAGUUUACACACCGAAAUGCGUCAUCCUCCACGCGGCGUUGCUGCAUCAGGGUUCCCCCCAUUGUGCAAUAUUCCUCA